rnacentral:lncRNA from 1 species
CGGCAGUACGCAUGCGCCAGCCGCGGGACGGCAGUACGCCUGCGCGAGCCCGGAGAUGCCAGUACGCAUGCGCGAGCCCCGAGACGGCAGUACGCAUGCGCGACAUCAUGGACAGUAGUUCGCAUGCGCGACAUUAUAGACGGCAGUGCGCAUGCGCGAGUUUCGAGACGGCAGUACGCAUGCGCGACAUUAUGGAGCCGCGAGACGGCAGAACGCAUGCGCGAGCCCGCAGACGGCAGUACGCAUGCGCGACAUCAUGGACGGUGGCAGCAGAUACCGUGGCAACAACAACUCCGCCGCCUUUUAGCGGACUGCCUGGGACCGUGGGCGCGCAUCCCCUUCUCUCUUUCUUUUCUUGGCAGAGGAUGGUGGGGGGAAGAAGGGGAGACGACAAAGAAAAGCAAGGAAAACUUCGACAAACCCUCCAACCCCGUGCUAAAUGCUUUGGUAUACCUGUAAAUAAAUGAAUACAUAACCAGCAAGUUGUUGUUGUCAUGCCUUUUUUUUUUUUUAAUAUGUGUAUGUGUAUACAUUUAUAUAUACACAUGUAUAUACAUAUUUCAGCCAGCAUCUGAGGUGAUGAAAAAACAUGGUAUGAAUUGCACGCAGUGAAGCCAAGGGUGCCUUGGAACAAUUAACA